ACCUCUAGCCAGACAGAUUCUCUAGUGCUCGGGUUAUUACCUAGCUUUUUAGCCGCUCAUUUGAUUUGGAGUGCGUGCGGUCAUACGCGUGGGAACAAGAUAAUUAAGUCGUGAUCAGGGUCUGAGCCUCUUGCUGAAGGUGGAGUGUGAUGUGAGAGAUGUGAGCCAGAGCCUGUGGCCUUCAGAGUCCCCCGAGUCAAAAUGGCGUACCUUCCCUGUGAGGAAGACGACGCUGGUGUCCGGGUCGUAGAACGGGAUGAGGGUGGAGGGCGAGACGUCGGCGGCGGCGUUGGCUAAAGCUCCAG